rnacentral:rRNA from 1 species
UAGAACGCUGAAGGAGGAGCUUGCUUCUCUGGAUGAGUUGCGAACGGGUGAGUAACGCGUAGGUAACCUGCCUGGUAGCGGGGGAUAACUAUUGGAAACGAUAGCUAAUACCGCAUAAGAGUAGAUGUUGCAUGACAUUUGCUUAAAAGGUGCAAUUGCAUCACUACCAGAUGGGCCUGCGUUGUAUUAGCUAGUUGGUGAGGUAACGGCUCACCAAGGCGACGAUACAUAGCCGACCUGAGAGGGUGAUCGGCCACACUGGGACUGAGACACGGCCCAGACUCCUACGGGAGGCAGCAGUAGGGAAUCUUCGGCAAUGGACGGAAGUCUGACCGAGCAACGCCGCGUGAGUGAAGAAGGUUUUCGGAUCGUAAAGCUCUGUUGUAAGAGAAGAACGAGUGUGAGAGUGGAAAGUUCACACUGUGACGGUAUCUUACCAGAAAGGGACGGCUAACUACGUGCCAGCAGCCGCGGUAAUACGUAGGUCCCGAGCGUUGUCCGGAUUUAUUGGGCGUAAAGCGAGCGCAGGCGGUUAGAUAAGUCUGAAGUUAAAGGCUGUGGCUUAACCAUAGUACGCUUUGGAAACUGUUUAACUUGAGUGCAAGAGGGGAGAGUGGAAUUCCAUGUGUAGCGGUGAAAUGCGUAGAUAUAUGGAGGAACACCGGUGGCGAAAGCGGCUCCCUGGCUUGUAACUGACGCUGAGGCUCGAAAGCGUGGGGAGCAAACAGGAUU